AUCAAAUAUUGGCCGAAGACAGCAGGCGCCCGUAUAAAAGGCUUAAUUUCCUGCCGAGGUAAGUAGCAAGCUUAUUAAGCAAGCUCUGAUCCUUUGUCUUGGGCAAAGGAUUUUCAUUUU
rnacentral:sRNA from 1 species